rnacentral:rRNA from 1 species
CUGCUACUAGUGAUGUCAUCGUGAAGUCCACUAAACCUUAUCAUUUAAGGGAAUGAGAAGUCGUAACAAAGUUUCUGUAGGUGAACCUGCAAAAGGGUCAUUGCUGAUGCCUCACAAGCAGAAUGCCUCGCCCAAUGCAACAACCAACCAACCAACCCCAGUGCUAGUCGUGCUAAGGAAAUCGAACAAACACGCGUGCUCAUGGCGACCCAGAAGUAUUACCCAGUCGGGGAGCAUACUGUAUCCACAACGACUCUCAGCAACGGAUAUCUCGGCUCUCGCAUCGAUGAAGAAUGUAGCGAAAUGCGAUACUUAGUGUGAAUUGCAGAAUCCCGCGAACCAUCGAGUCUUUGAACUCAAGUUGCGCUCGAAGCUAUUAGGCUAAGGGCACGUCUACUUGGGCGUCACACACCGUCGCCCCCAACCCAUCCCAGGCUGGGUGGACGAUGGCCUCCCACAAGCCGUGCCUCCUGGUUGGCCCAAACACAAGCACGUGGCGGUGAUCGCCACGUGUCCCAUGGUGGAUGAUGCGAGACUCAUCUCGAGCCCUGCCCGUACAGGUAUCACCACCUAAGUCCGAAUCUCUGACACCCUAGGUCAUGCGGGGUUACCUGCUGAGUUUAAGCAUAUCAAUACCGCAGGAA